ensembl:lncRNA
CCUCAUGACCUUUGCCACGGCCGGAGCUCGCUCCCCGCAAGAUCCAUUGGAUUACCUGCUGGGACAUAAUUUGCCAAAUGUGCCUUAGAGAAUAUUCCAUCUUACUUGAUCAUUUGGGCCUACAUCAAACUUCCCUGGUGGCACAGUGGGUAAGAAGCCACAUGCUGAAGCAGGGGACAUGAGAUUGAUCCCUGGUCCUGGCGGAUCCCCCAGGCCAUGCAGCAGCGAAGUCCAUGUGCAGAAAUCCUGAAGCCUUCGCCCUCGCGGCUGCGCUCCGCAGCAGGAGAUGCCACCCCAGUGAAAAGCCCACAUGCAGCAUCUGGACAAACACCAGUGUGCAGCAACCAAGACCCGGCACAGCCAAGAAUAAAUAAGCAACAAAAUGGUCCACAUCAAAAGAAACAACAACAACUAAGUCUCUGUCACAGUUCCAGAGUGGAUAUUGAAUUCAGGAAAUGGAGACGUGUGUAAAAAUAUCCGGGGUGAAAGCAAAGGUCUCAGAGACUGAGACAUGGGAGUGUUGAGUAGAUAGAUAUGGAGGGGAAUAUAGGGGAGACCCUUCCACUGGGGCUUUGUGUUUUCAGCACUGUGGCUGAAUGCCACACGUCCUUUUUAUUAAAGGCACAGGACAGGUACAUGCCGAGUGUGAGAGAAAGUCUAAGAUCACUUCCCCAGAGCAGAGUGACAGAUUCCCAUUAAGCAUUCAGUCUCCUCUCAGGCCUCAAAAUCGAAUUCUCUGGAGGAGUUAGGAAAAGGAUUGUCUGAAGGAUGGAUGGGAUGGAAAGUCAUUCUCUUCCUAUCUUUGUAGUUCUCGGAACAAUGGCUCUCUUCAAAUAUUGACCGUCUGUGUUUUCUGAGACUACUGUUUACUUACGAUAAACACAUUUAUUGCGACCACUUUUUCUAACUCCUGUUGUUUAAACUAGCCUCUCAGUUCAUUUUCUCAGCUGGGUGUCCUUAGCUGGUUCUGUAAUAAACUUCCUGACUCACAGUAAUAACAUGCCUCCUGCCAGAGAGAGUAUAUUUUAUGGAUGUGUUGGGAAAUUUUAAAGUUAGAAAAAUCAGUGAUUGUUGAAAUGACAUGUUGAUAAAAACUAGGGCAUGACUUGGGUUUGCUUUUAAAAGCCUCUAAAAAAUAACAGGCUGCAAAUUAAAAUGUAUAAAGUAUCGAUCUGUCUUUUCAAAUUGAAAAUGAAGGAAGCCUGAUGAUUUUGGAAAUAAUUCUGGAAGUGUGUGUACAUUUUAAAGGUAUAUUUAAACACAUUUUAUUUC